GGACGAACGCUGGCGGCGUGCUUAACACAUGCAAGUCGAACGAUGAAGCUAGAGCUUGCUCUGGUGAAUUAGUGGCGAACGGGUGAGUAACACGUGAGUAACCUGCCCCGAACUCUGGGAUAACUGCUGGAAACGGUAGCUAAUACUGGAUACGACCUACGAAGGCAUCUUCUGUAGGUGGAAAGAAUUUCGGUUCGGGAUGGACUCGCGGCCUAUCAGCUUGUUGGUGAGGGUAAUGGGCUCACCCAAAGGCGACGACGGGUAGCCGGCCUGAGAGGGUGACCGGCCACACUGGGACUGAGACACGGCCCAGACUCCUACGGGAGGCAGCAGUGGGGAAUAUUGCACAAUGGGCGCAAGCCUGAUGCAGCAACGCCGCGUGAGGGAUGACGGCCUUCGGGUUGUAAACCUCUUUUAGUAGGGAAGAAGCGAAAGUGACGGUACCUGCAGAAAAGCACCGGCUAACUACGUG
rnacentral:rRNA from 1 species